rnacentral:rRNA from 1 species
UUGAACGCUGGCGGCAGGCCUAACACAUGCAAGUCGAGCGGUUGAGAGUAGCUUGCUACUUGAUGCAGCGGCGGACGGGUGAGUAACGCGUGGGAAUCUGCCCAGUAGUGGGGGACAACAGCCGGAAACGGCUGCUAAUACCGCAUACGCCCUACGGGGGAAAGGGGGGGAUCUUCGGACCUCUCGCUAUUGGAUGAGCCCGCGUCGGAUUAGCUAGUUGGUAGGGUAAAGGCCUACCAAGGCUACGAUCCGUAACUGGUCUGAGAGGAUGAGCAGUCACACUGGAACUGAGAAACGGUCCAGACUCCUACGGGAGGCAGCAGUGGGGAAUAUUGGACAAUGGGGGAAACCCUGAUCCAGCCAUGCCGCGUGUGUGAAGAAGGCCUUAGGGUUGUAAAGCACUUUCAGUGGGGAGAAAGGUUUGUCACCUAAUACGUGAUGAAAUUGAUGUUGCCCACAGAAGAAGCACCGGCUAACUCCGUGCCAGCCGCCGCGGUAA